rnacentral:tRNA from 1 species
GGGGGAUUAGCUCAAUUGGGAGAGCGCCGCCCUUGCACGGCGGAGGUCACGAGUUCGAGUCUCGUAUCCUCCA